CAGGGAAUAGUUUAAAUAGAACUUCAGCUUUGGGUGUUGAUAGUGAAGCUA
rnacentral:tRNA from 1 species